GAUGAACGCUGGCGGCGUUCCUAAUACAUGCAAGUCGAGCGAACAGACGAGGAGCUUGCUCCUCUGACGUUAGCGGCGGACGGGUGAGUAACACGUGGAUAACCUACCUAUAAGACUGGGAUAACUUCGGGAAACCGGAGCUAAUACCGGAUAAUAUAUUGAACCGCAUGGUUCAAUAGUGAAAGACGGUUUUGCUGUCACUUAUAGAUGGAUCCGCGCCGCAUUAGCUAGUUGGUAAGGUAACGGCUUACCAAGGCAACGAUGCGUAGCCGACCUGAGAGGGUGAUAGGCCACACUGGAACUGAGACACGGUCCAGACUCCUAAGGGAGGAAGCAGUAGGGAAUCUACCGCAAUGGGAGAAAGCCUGACGGAGCAACGCCGCGUGAGUGAUGAAGGUCUUCGGAUCGUAAAACUCUGUUAUAAGGGAAGAACAAAUGUGUAAGUAACUAUGCACGUCUUGACGGUACAUAAUCAGAAAGCCACGGUUAACUACGUG
rnacentral:rRNA from 1 species